rnacentral:rRNA from 1 species
UACGUAGGCAGCAAGCGUUGUUCGGAGUUACUGGGCGUAAAGGGUGUGUAGGCGGUUGGGUAAGUGUGGUGUGAAAUCUCCCGGCUCAACUGGGAGGGUGCGCUACAAACUGUCUGACUCGAGUGUGGGAUGGGUAAGUGGAAUUCCACGUGUAGCGGUGAAAUGCGUAGAGAUGUGGAGGAACACCGAUGGCGAAGGCAGCCUUCUGGGCCAACACUGACGCUCAUGCACGAAAGCGUGGGGAGCAAACAGG